rnacentral:rRNA from 1 species
AAGUACUGCGGGACACGAGAAACCCCGUGGGAAUCAGGGGGGACCACCCCCCAAGGCUAAAUACUCUUAGCGACCGAUAGUGAACAAGUACCGUGAGGGAAAGGUGAAAAGCACCCCGGGAGGGGAGUGAAAUAGAACCUGAAACCAUGUGCCUACAAGCUGUCGAAGGGCGUUAAAAGCCUGACGGCGUACUUUUUGUAGAACGGACCGGCGAGUUACAUCUAACGUGCAGGUUAAGGCAGGAAAGCCGGAGCCGAAGCGAAAGCAAGUCUUAAUAGGGCGCAAUGUACGUUGGAGUAGACCCGAAACCUGGUGAUCUACCCAUGUCCAGAGUGAAGCUUUAGUAAAAUAAAGUGGAGGCUCGAACCGACCUUCGUUGAAAAGGAGGCGGAUGAGGUGUGGGUAGGGGUGAAAUGCCAAUCGAACCAGGAGAUAGCUGGUUCUCCCCGAAAUAGCUUUAGGGCUAGCCUCGGUUUAAGAUUAGCGGAGGUAGAGCACUGAAUGGGCUAGGGGCCUUCACGGGUUACCGAACCCAAUCAAACUCCGAAUGCCGCAUAAUUAUAACCGGGAGUCAGACUGCGGGUGCUAAGAUUCGUAGUCAAAAGGGAAACAGCCCAGA